UGGGGAAUAUUGCGCAAUGGGGGAAACCCUGACGCAGCAACGCCGCGUGAAGGAAGACGGUUUUCGGAUUGUAAACUUCUUUGAUGAGGGACGAAUAAUGACGGUACCUCAAAAACAAGCCCCGGCUAACUACGUGCCAGCAGCCGCGGUAAUACGUAGGGGGCGAGCGUUAUCCGGAUUUACUGGGUGUAAAGGGCGAGUAGGCGGGAAGCCAAGUCAGAUGUGAAAUACCGAGGCUCAACUUCGGGGCUGCAUUUGAAACUGGUUUUCUUGAGUGAUGGAGAGGCAGGCGGAAUUCCCAGUGUAGCGGUGAAAUGCGUAGAUAUUGGGAAGAACACCAGUGGCGAAGGCGGCCUGCUGGACAUUAACUGACGCUGAGGAGCGAAAGCGUGGGGAGCAA
rnacentral:rRNA from 1 species